GUCCCUCACACCUUUCACCUAAUCAUUUUCUUUCUCACUCUCUCUCUCUGCCCAAUCAGAAAAGUCACACUUUCUCUCUCUUCUCUUCCUUCACCAAAGCUCCCUUUCUCUGCGACAAGGAAGACCAACGUCAAAACCUUGCAGAUCGAGCUCAAGAACCACACCAUCACACUCCUCUCGUCACCACGAACUCAAUCGUACCCUCAGAUCAUGCGUUGGUUGAGUUUUGGGUGGUCAACACAGAGUAACUCGGAAGCUCCGACUCAGUCCAGUUGGUAUCAUUGUGAACCCGGUCGAGUUAAGAGAUUUUAGGACGUGGGGAAGCUUCCUUACAAUUCCUGAGACUCCUAGGACAAGUUUGAAGAAAAAACAACCUCGAAAGCACACAGGUUCGAGGAACAAAGUUUUGGUUGAACCUAUCGAGCCAUUUUCAGGCCACUUCCUGUCCAUUUUUUUACUUUCAAAAGGUAUAGAUUUGUUCCUCGUCACGAGCUUCAUUUCCAUGUAAAGUUUGCUAAAAAUGGUUAAGAAAUGACCAAGAUAUAAAGGUUUGAAAAUUUUCCAAAAACUUGCGAGUUUUUCCAAUUUCCUACAAAACCAGACGGCGACGGGUGACAAUCUCACCGAAGAAGACAAGGAAUAUUCCAUCAAAGUUGACAAAAUAUUCUAACGGCGUUAGGUAACACCAUUAAUGUCCUUUACUAUUUAACGAAAUAUUUUGUCAAAUCUGAUGGAAUAUUCCUAUGUUUCAUCAGUCAUUGUGCUUGCGCGUGGACAUGGGUUGGACGGUGCGUGAGGGCGCGUCCGGCCUCUGGUCGGCGAGUGGUUUUUACGUGUAGGGGAGACAUACCCUGAGGACGUAUGUGGGCAAGCGAGAUUAGGGGGCUACGAUCCUAUGACAUACCAGUCCUAGAUAGCUAACUUACUAUGUGGCACUCGAGGAUUACCCUACGAUUCUGACAUAUCUCCAUCUUAACGUAGGAACUUAUCUCUAGUUAUGUAAUAAGUACUUUUCUUGUUCGACUGCUUUACCCUUAUGUUAUCUAUGCUCUGAAUAUUUGUAGUUAUGAGUUGUAACCACUACUGCACACUCACUUUAUUAGUUUAAAUAAGUUCUAGUUUUGGU